AGUCGAACGAGCGAGAGAGAGCUUGCUUUCUUGAGCGAGUGGCGAACGGGUGAGUAACGCGUGAGGAACCUGCCUCAAAGAGGGGGACAACAGUUGGAAACGACUGCUAAUACCGCAUAAGCCCACAGCUCGGCAUCGAGCAGAGGGAAAAGGAGCAAUCCGCUUUGAGAUGGCCUCGCGUCCGAUUAGCUAGUUGGUGAGGUAACGGCCCACCAAGGCGACGAUCGGUAGCCGGACUGAGAGGUUGAACGGCCACAUUGGGACUGAGACACGGCCCAGACUCCUACGGGAGGCAGCAGUGGGGAAUAUUGCACAAUGGGGGAAACCCUGAUGCAGCGACGCCGCGUGGAGGAAGAAGGUCUUCGGAUUGUAAACUCCUGUUGUUGAGGAAGAUAAUGACGGUACUCAACAAGGAAGUGACGGCUAACUACGUGCCAGCAGCCGCGGUAAAACGUAGGUCACAAGCGUUGUCCGGAAUUACUGGGUGUAAAGGGAGCGCAGGCGGGAAGACGAGUUGGAAGUGAAAUCCAUGGGCUCAACCCAUGAACUGCUUUCAAAACUGUUUUUCUUGAGUAGUGCAGAGGUAGGCGGAAUUCCC
rnacentral:rRNA from 1 species